UUAGGUUUAACAAAAGUGAUAUGCAUAUAUACACACACGUGAUUUUUCAAAAGAUGAGUCUCCAACAUGUUUAGGUUGGGUGCGCACACCAAGUCUGAGAAUAAAUAGGAAUUUUUCCCAUUAGAUUAUGUAUGUUAUCAUCUUCUUGUUCAUCGAGCAGUAGCAAACCACUCUCCCACAUUCUCCUCGUGUUCUAUCGUGCUCUCGAGUAUAUGAGGAUGUUCCAUGUUUAAUUUCCUUCCAUUCAUAUUCAAGCAUCUAUUGCGGGAUAAUGUGUUUGUGGCACCCGCGCUAGCUUGUUUGAGAAGACAUGUAGAGACUGAUGACGUGAUGUAGUUGAAGUAGUAGCAAUGCGGUCCUCGUGAAGACUCGAAAACCACUAUGGAUACUAUGCGAUUGUGCAUGUAAGAGUAACAUUUCUCUAGUAGUAGAGCUCCAAAGCCUCCACAUGCAAUCGGAUCAUUGGUUCAUGUCGGAAAUUGAGCCACAUAUAUAUAUUUCUCUAUAUAAAUGUUCACAAUGGGAUAUCAUCGUCGUGUAAUUUUCGAGAGAGUUAUAUUAUGGCUCUUUUGUUUUUGUUUUUUAAGAUCAUAUAAUUAUGGAUUAUGCAAUUGCCGAUUAGAGUGUAAAUAUUUUUCAUUUUUGUCUUUCUUUCAACGUGGUCAAUGAAAUAUUUUAUAAAUUAAGAUAUAUAUAUAUAUAUAUAUAUAUAUAUAGAGAGAGAGAGAGAGAGAGAGAGAGAGAGAGAGAGAGAGAG